GCCGGCCCCCCCCGACCGUUCUGCCCGCAUUCCGUCGGCUUAGUAUCUCCACCAAUACUGUGCGUCGGAUUGCUAUUGCACCCGCCGAUCCCUUGACUGACAUCUCUCUGGACCCAAUCGAAGGUUCGAGCCUAUUCCUCUCUUCACUGGACGAGGUUCGCAGCCUAGGUCAUGAUGCCCGUGCCUGGUCUAUAGACGUGCCCUCCAGAAUUGAGGCAACUUCACCCUCCUUUAUCCACCAGGAAAGGCAGAGGUGUGAGGGUGGAGGGGAGUCUGACAGAGAGAAAAUGAUUGACGGACAGUCGCCGCUUCCAAUCGGAGUGCCGUGCGCAGGCCGGCUAGCCUAUGGGACUCAGCUUCUCUGGCGAGAGGCGGGCCUCUCAGAUGUAGGAAGUAUUCGUGGGUGCCUGGGUAUUCAGGCAGGCAAAGGGCUUAGCGGCCUCUGGAAAAAGGCAAGCGCAAGCCGUGGACAUGCUCAUGGCGCAGAGGGUCAUUCACAGGUGGCUUGGGUCAGGAUGUUUCCCUGUGAGCUGAACAAAGAGCAAACUUAAGUCUUCUGAGGGUUCAGAAACCCAUUACUCUCCAGGCCUUUCGGGAGUUGGGCCAUUUUCUGAUGACAGUGGUGCUGCUUUAAUCUGAGUGUGAUAAAUCCAUGGCUUUUCUCCAGCUAACUUGACAGAUGAGUGCAUGGGGAAGCCAGCUGCCAUGUCAUGAGGCAGGUGAAGAGGGUCUCGAGGCAAAAAACUGAGUUCUGCCGAGAGCCAAGUGAUCAGAUCUGCUGAGGAGAAAUUUGAAUUUAUCUAUGCAAGUGGAAAUUCCAAGGCUGAAGACCAAAUACAUAUUUGAAGAACCUCAAUACCAAGCCAAAGAACUACAGAGAACGCCACACCCAAGUACAGUAUAUUCAAACUGCUGAACACCAAAGAUAAAGAGAAAAUCUUAACUGUGGUUGAGCUAGGUGUGCGUUUUGUUGUUGCUCUGGUUACCCUCAGUGGACCACCAGCUUUGAAUUCUUCCAGCUUUGCCUUGUGCUUGAGAUGGGGACGGGUUACCAGAGGUUUUAUCCGUGUUCUUAUGCCCCUGGCCCCCCUCAGCUUUAGGCUUUCCCUGUGAGCCAGAACCUCAGAGAUCACUGUUCUGCAUGCUCUUGUCCCAUUCCGUGUGGUAGACAGUUGAUCUUUGUAAUUGGUCCUCACUGGCCCCGUGGAGGUGCGAAAGGGUAUUCUCUGGUUUUCCUUCUUAAGCCUCAAUCUUAGGCUUCUGUUGUAUUCCUGGGGCUCGGUGGUGGAGGUUACUCAGUGAUUCUGCCACGCCUGCAAAAACAGAGAAUUUCUAAUGAUCUGAGCCCACAUGGUUUCCCGAGACUGUCCGAACAGUAGCGUGAGUUUUGCCCUCCUUCCUUUCCUUUGCUGCAGUGGGUCUUUGCCUGUGUUCUAAGUUUGGCAGUUCUUGCCACCCUUUCCUCAACAGCUUAAUGCUUUUGUUCCAUGGAGGAGGAAGGUCUGGGUGGUGAUUUAGGCUUUCUGAACCACCCUGUUCUCCAUCUUUCUUCUGAUGUCCGUAAAGAAUAACCUGUGAGUUGGUACAAACUCCCUUUAUAUGUGAAUCUCCCAGGGGUUCUAUACUCUCACAUUUGCCUCAACUGGUCUUUAGCAGGUUGUUAGAAUUUUUAGCUGAAAUCUUGCCCACUUGUGUGGCAUAUGUGGCUUGACUUGGUGAAGAAAGUAGCAUACAAAAAAAAAAAACAAAAAAAAACAACUUACGGGCUUCCCUGGUGGCGCAGUGGUUGCGCGUCCGCCUGCCGAUGCAGGGGACGCGGGUUCGUGCCCCGGUCCGGGAAGAUCCCACGUGCCGCGGAGCGGCUGGGCCCGUGAGCCAUGGCCGCUGAGCCUGCGCGUCCGGAGCCUGUGCUCCGCAACGGGAGAGGCCACAACAGUGUGAGGCCCGCGUACCACAAAAAAAAAAAAAAAAGAAAGAAAGUAGCAUAAUCUUAUACAAGGCAAAGUGCUAUCUGUAUCAAGCCUUUCUCUGAUUCCGGGGAGUGCAACCCAUGCUGGGGGGAGGAAUUCUUAGCCAACCUUGGCCAUGGGGUUAGUUCUCUUGGUCUAAACUCACUCUCUGCACCUAGUACCAAUGCUAGGCAACUACUGUUUUUAGAUAGUUCCUUUUUCGGGAGCAGGGGGCUGUGGCUCCAAGCUGUAGAUAAAUUCCUAAAACUGUAUGUUUAUGUUAUGAUUUAGCAAAUUAUGUACUCUUUAAGAUUAAGUGUGGUAAUCCAUUAAAUUCCCUAUGAAACUUCAUAACCUGUGGAUACAGGCAGAGCAGAACGAAUCUUCUCAGACCCUAAUUAGACACGUGUGCAUUCAAUAAGUUACCCCAAAUUGCAACUUACACAGGCUAGAGCAUGGCAACUGAUUUCUGGGGGAAAUGUAUUUGUAAGAUUUACUCUGAGGUCCAAACUUUAGAAUAAUUAAUUUAAAAUAAUCAUAAGGGGAAAGUACUUACCCUGGGAGAAGAGGGAACCCUUUCAGCACAUUACCAGGACUCGCUGGCUGCUUAUGUAAUAGCCAUUACCCCCAUUUUGCUUUUUAAAUAUCCCAGGUUUUUCUCAGGUACCCACCUUCUUUGCUAUGGUGAAGUUUAAUCACAUUAAUUUCCCUUGCUAAGAAUGGGUUUAGGAACAGACUUAGGAAAAAUUAUGACCCAGGAGGUGAGGGGUGUGUGUGUGUGUGUGUGUGUGUGUGUGUGUGUGUGUGUGUGUGUGUGUGUGUGUGUGUGUUUAUGAGGCAAAGGACUGCUGGGUGGGUUGCUAAGAUUUAGUUUUUGGAGGGGACAUUGUGACAAAAGCCCUUCUUUAACUGGAUUUUGUUGGCUGACACCUGGGGUGGUGGCAACCAAUCUAUGUUCUAGAAGAGCAGCGAGAGAGAAAGAACCCAGCUCCUUGAUAAUGUCAUUGAGACACUAAAAUACAAAUAAAGCCAUCAUAUAAAUAGGCAACAUAAAUAAGUAAAUAAAGAAAUGAUAGU